AGAAAAUGUGGUCCAGUUAGGAAUCAGAUGCUUUCCCAACUAAACCCAUUCCUAGUUUAGACCUGUACUGGUGAAGCAUCUAGUUUAGGAGGCCAUGAGGAAGCAGUGAUAGAGCUACAUGAACUGCACAAACCAAACAGAUAAAUGACAAUUUUGUGCCUAAAGUCAACAGGGGUGGGACGUGGUGUUGCCACCUUUCCAGCUUAUCUGGUGUGCAGAUGUUGAGGACUCUUUUAUCUCUCAGACCACACUGAAGACAGGCUACAGAUGAGCGAGCAGUGCCCUCCACAUUCAGUGCAGGAGAAUGACAGACCAAGAGGCAAAGCAGUGAGGCUUUGGUGGCAGAACAAUGUGAUUUGAAACCAGCAACUUUGGC